rnacentral:misc_RNA from 1 species
UUGAGCAUGCAGACCUUUGAGGCUGCACACAAGUUAUUUUCUUGAUUCUCACAGCUCAUGGCGCCAACUUGAGCAUUUUAUCCUCAGAAGUGGUCAUUGAGGGAUCGGAUUGUGUCAAAGCAAGUCCGUAUGAUAUGAUUGAGGGUUGGCACUCAGUGUAUCUCUCUGUUAAACCAUUUUUUAAUGGCUUUAUUUA